AUGAUAUUAAUAAUAAUAAUAAUAAUAAUAGACAAUACCUUAUAGGUAUACAGUCUACUACCAAAGGUUUCUGUGCAACCCAAUCGCACAUGUUUGUCCUUCGAGUCUACGAGCUACUAAAUACAAUAGUAUCAAGUUCAUGAAUUUUAUGUGUUAAUUUCAUAGCUACCUAUUAAAUUUGGUUUAAGUGUAUACAGAAAAAUGAGCGGAGACUCUUAUUCAGAACGUACGUUCAUCAUGGUCAAGCCAGAUGGUGUUCAACGCGGCCUGGUUGGCAAGAUAAUUAAGCGC